AUACGGAGGAUCCGAGCGUUAUCCGGAUUUAUUGGGUUUAAAGGGUGCGCAGGCGGCCAUUUAAGUCAGCGGUUAAAUCGUGGGGCUCAACCCCAUUCUGCCGUUGAUACUGGGUGGCUUGAUUGCGGCCGAGGUUGGCGGAAUUCGUUGUGUAGCGGUGAAAUGCAUAGAUAUGACGAAGAACACCGAUUGCGUAGGCAGCUGACCAGAACGUAAAUGACGCUCCUGCACGAAAGAGCGGGGAUCGAACAGGAUUAGAUUCCCUGGUAGUCCGCACAGUAAACGAUGAAUACUUGGUUUCGGCGAUAUAAUGUCGGAGGCAAAGCGAAAGCGAUAAGUAUUCCACCUGGGGAGUACGCCGGCAACGGUGAAACUCAAAUGAAUUGACGGGG
rnacentral:rRNA from 1 species